rnacentral:rRNA from 4 species
ACGACCUCAGAGCAGGC